ACUAAAAUGAUGACAACUUUGAUAGGGACAUCUGAUGUCUAUGAAAGAUUUAUCAAUUUUUAUUAAACUGAUUCA